UCCUGGCUCAGGAUGAACGCUAGCUACAGGCUUAACACAUGCAAGUCGAGGGGCAUCAUGUCGGUUGCUUGCAACCGAUGAUGGCGACCGGCGCACGGGUGAGUAACGCGUAUCCAACUCCCCUUAGUAGGGCAUAGCCCGUAGAAAUGCGGAUUAACACCCUAUGUUCUUCAUGGAUGGCAUCUGACGUGAAGCAAAGUUUACGCUAAGGGAUGGGGAUGCGUCUGAUUAGGUUGCAGGCGGGUAACGGCCCACCUGGCCGACGAUCAGUAGGGGUUCUGAGAGGAAGGUCCCCCACAUUGGAACUGAGACACGGUCCAAACUCCUACGGGAGGCAGCAGUGAGGAAUAUUGGUCAAUGGGCGAGAGCCUGAACCAGCCAAGUAGCGUGCAGGACGACGGCCCUAUGGGUUGUAAACUGCUUUUAUCAGGGGAUAAAGUCGGCUACGCGUAGCCGUUUGUAGGUACCUGAUGAAUAAGGACCGGCUAAUUCCGUGCCAGCAGCCGC
rnacentral:rRNA from 1 species